rnacentral:rRNA from 1 species
GACGAACGCUGGCGGCGUGCCUAAUACAUGCAAGUAGAACGCACAGUUUAUACCGUAGCUUGCUACACCAUACACUGUGAGUUGCGAACGGGUGAGUAACGCGUAGGUAACCUGCCUGGUAGCGGGGGAUAACUAUUGGAAACGAUAGCUAAUACCGCAUAAUAUUAAUUAUUGCAUGAUAAUUGAUUGAAAGAUGCAAUUGCAUCACUACCAGAUGGACCUGCGUUGUAUUAGCUAGUAGGUGAGGUAACGGCUCACCUAGGCGACGAUACAUAGCCGACCUGAGAGGGUGAUCGGCCACACUGGGACUGAGACACGGCCCAGACUCCUACGGGAGGCAGCAGUAGGGAAUCUUCGGCAAUGGACGAAAGUCUGACCGAGCAACGCCGCGUGAGUGAAGAAGGUUUUCGGAUCGUAAAGCUCUGUUGUAAGAGAAGAACGGGUGUGAGAGUGGAAAGUUCACACUGUGACGGUAUCUUACCAGAAAGAGACGGCUAACUACGUG